GACGAACGCUGGCGGCGUGCCUAAUACAUGCAAGUAGAACGCUGAAACUUGGUGCUUGCACCGAGCGGAUGAGUUGCGAACGGGUGAGUAACGCGUAGGUAACCUGCCUGGUAGCGGGGGAUAACUAUUGGAAACGAUAGCUAAUACCGCAUAAGAGUAGAUUUUGCAUGACGUUUGCGUAAAAGGUGCAAUUGCACGACUACCAGAUGGACCUGCGUUGUAUUGGCUAGUUGGUGGGGUAACGGCUCACCAAGGCGACGAUACAUAGCCGACAUGAGAGGGUGGUCGGCCGCACUGGGACGGUGACCCGGCCCAGUGUCCUACGGGUAGCAGCAGUAGGGAAUCUUCGGCAAGCGGCGGAAGUCUGACCGAGCAACGCCGCGUGAGUGAAGAAGGUUGUCGGAUCGUAAAGCUCGGUUGUAAGAGAAGAACGAGUGUGAGAGUGGAAAGUUCACACUGUGACGGUAUCUUACCAGAAAGCGACGGCUAACUACGUG
rnacentral:rRNA from 1 species